rnacentral:rRNA from 1 species
AGAAUCAACGCUGGCGGCGUGCCUAACACAUGCAAGUCGCACGAGAAAGGGUAGCAAUACCUGAGUAAAGUGGCGCACGGGUGAGUAACACGUGAAUUAUCUACCUCCGAGUGGGGAAUAACUGAGAGAAAUCUUAGCUAAUACCGCAUAACACCUACGGGUCAAAGGAGCAAUUCGCUUCAGGAGGGGUCGCGGCCGAUUAGUUAGUUGGCGGGGUAAUGGCCCACCAAGACAGUGAUCGGUA